rnacentral:lncRNA from 1 species
UUUAUUUUGGCUUUGUCUGAAAGUCUGUCGAUAAAUUUAGGUUUUCCUAAAAUUAUUGUAAUGAAUUAGACUAGUACAAAAAUGUUUUUUUUUUUUUAAGACUGACUGCUGGUGUAUACACUGAGUGUUCAAAACAUUAAGGACACAUGCUUUUUCCAUUACAUAGCUUUCACCUGGUCAGUCUAUGAUCUCUUAUUGAUGUCACUUAUUAAAUCCACUUCAAUCAGUGUAAAGGAAGGGGAGGAGACAAGUUAAAUAAGUAUUUUUAAGGCUUAAGACAACUGAGACAUGGAUUGUGUACUGUAUGUGUGCCAUUCAGAUGGUGAAUGGGCAAGAGAAAAGAUUGAAGUGCCUUUGAACAGGGUAUGGUAGUAGGUGCCAGGCGCACCGGAUUUGUGUCAAGAACUGCAACACAGCUGGGUUUUUCACACUCAAUAGGUUCCCUUGUGUCAAGCAUGGUCUACCACCCUAAGGACAUCCAGCCAACUUGACACAACUGUGGGAAGUAUUGCCGUCAACACGGUCCAGCAUGCCUGUGGAACGCUUUCGACACCUUGUACAGUCCAUCAUGCCCCCAACGAAUUGAGACUGUUCCGAGGGCACUCAGGGUUCAUGCAAAACCUCUCUGCACCAAAGAUGGCUGAUGGUGACAACGUGGAUUUUGAUGACAUCCACAGGAAGCGUCAGGAGACCUGUCUGAGCUCCAGUCUCUGAGUCUCACUUCAUCCCGGAGGAAGAAGGAGUAAGAGGAGCUCAUCUCCCUCGUAAACAGGAUUGUGUAGGAGAAACGCUUUGCGGAGAGGGCAGAGCAGCGGCGGGUUCGUGCGGAGAGGGAGAAGGAAUGGCAGCUCAGGGUUGCUUGCUCUGCAGGAGGAGAAAGAGAGGAAGGAGGCAGAGCAAUGUAGGAAGAACGAUGAUGACGCUAAAAAAAAGGCUCUCACUAACAUGACCCACCAGUAUGGAGGCAUUCAGCAGAAGUCAAAUGAAAACCGUAAAGGAGCCAAAAAUCAGAGGGAGAAGAUUCUUGCUGACCGCAGGAAAUCUCUCAGCAUCGACAAUCUGAAUGAGGACACACUCAAGGCAACAGCCAAUGAGAUGUGACAGUGGAUGAUGGAGCUGGAGGCUGAGAAGUUUGACCUCAGUGAGAAACUCAAGUACGAUAUCAUGAAAAAUAAGACGGGGGGCACCAGACCAAGCAUCUCUAAGUAGAAAUUUGGACUGUCAAUUUUUACACAAUGUGAGAGGUCCCAGGCAGUGGGUACAUCAGAGGUGACCUACAGUACUACUGAACAGAUUAACCAGCUUCUCACUCGGGUCCAGGAUCACCAAAGCAUCAAAGGUCGCGGCAAGAAGAUGGGCCGGGUGAGGUAAAGGAGCAAUCGCUACAGUCGGGCG